UACGUAGGGUGCAAGCGUUAAUCGGAAUUACUGGGCGUAAAGCGUGCGCAGGCGGUUUUGUAAGUCAGAUGUGAAAUCCCCGGGCUUAACCGGGGAACUGCGUCUGAUACUGGAUGGCUGGAGUAUGGGAGAGGAAUGCGGAAUUCCAGGUGUAGCGGUGAAAUGCGUAGAUAUCUGGAGGAACACCGGUGGCGAAGGCGGAAUUCUGGACCAUUACUGACGCUGAGGAGCGAAAGCCAGGGGAGCAAACGGG
rnacentral:rRNA from 1 species